UACAGAGGUCUCAAGCGUUGUUCGGAUUCAUUGGGCGUAAAGGGCGUGUAGGCGGUCCGCUAAGUCUGAUGUGAAAGCCCGGGGCUCACCCCCGGAAGGGCAUUGGAAACUGACGGACUCGAGUCCCGAAGAGGAGGGUGGAAUUCCUGGUGUAGCGGUGAAAUGCGUAGAUAUCAGGAGGAACACCGGUGGCGAAGGCGGCCCUCUGGACGGUGACUGACGCUGAGACGCGAAAGCGUGGGGAGCAAACAGG
rnacentral:rRNA from 1 species